UCUACACUCUAAAUAUCUGAUUUUGUUAGACUUUACAGUAAAGUCCUCCUCCAGACACAUUUUAAAUGUUUGUUAAAAUACUCUGCUGUGAUUGAUCGUGCGCCAAAAAAACACUAGCAGACGUAUCAGAAUGGUUAGUGAGGUAUAUUAACAUCCUACUUUAUUCUGAUCAUUCUAUAACUUGUAUUUAGGUCAUAUCUGAACUAUCUAUAUGUAGCUAGAAGUGAUGAACUUUAGCCUACUUUCAGAAGACACAUCUGGAAAAGUGUUAUCAAUGGGGCCCUCCAGGACAGAGCCAGUUGGCAUGAAGCCAUUGGUCAGUUAUCGAUCCCACAGCAAUUCAUGGAAUAUACACAUGUGGCACACACACAAAGAACUUUAGAGUGACUUUUGAGAAUCUGAGAAGCGGUCCUCUCCGAGUUCUGCAGAGCUUGUACAUGAUGCUGAUUUCUUUGAUGUAAAUAAACCUUUAUAAUCAAGAAACAGUGUCGACGGAUUCCUUUCCACCCAGCAAUGCAGCAUCGCUACAAAAUACACCACAUAUUUGGCGUCACGAACUUCGGGCGAGUUGGGACCGCGGCCGCAUCACUGGGGGGCUUCGACGGACUGACUUCCGCUUCCAAAGGCUAGCGAAAAGGGUGAGCAUUUCUCGCAAGUUUGGGGCGUCAGUUAGUUCAUUGAGGCUGUGUGUGUGCUGUCUGGUCGCACCGUUUCGGAUCUGUGCGUGGGCCAUGUUGUGAUUGCUGUGUGGUUGGGACUCGGUUUUAAAUUUGGUUUGCGUUGUGAGCCAACGCAAAAAGGGGGAAAUAGAGGAAAAGUGAAGUAAAGUGGAGAACAGAGGAUAAUGUGUACUAUAGCCUAAUUAGUAACGGGUGAGCUAAAAUAACCAUGCGAGAGCGCAAAAAUAAGCUAAAAUAACCAUGCGGGAGCGCAAAAAUAAGCAAAAAUAACCAUGCAAGAGUGCAAAAAUAAGCUAAAAUAACCAUGCGAGAGCGCAAAAAUAGGCUUUAAGGAAUCACAUUGGAUUUAAAAAAAAAAAAAGAGUUGAUAACCCUGGCUAGGGAAAUUUGUCUUGGAGAAGAUAAAGGGAAAUAAGAGAAAAUAAAGGAAAUAAGGGGAAUAAGGAAAUAAGGAUAAUAACGCCGUUAAUUUGGUUAAAGACCUUGGAUAAGGCGAGACUAGCUCAGGCCACAAAACCUGAAAAUGACUAGGUGAAGUUUCAGGUCAGUUCUAGGAACUGGGGGUGUAGAAUAAACUGCAAUGGAAAUUACGGAUUUCAUGGGUUGACGAAUUUAUGUCUGAAGUAAUCUCGCAUUGUAGUCUAUACCUCAAAAGGUAACAGAAAUUCAAGAAAAAGGAAACGGCGGAAUCAUGCUUUAGGAAUUGUAGGCCUAUAAUGAAUGCAUUCUUGUUGCUGAAUAACUAGUUUUCAUGUGUGUAUGAGAGACAGAGAGUGUGUGUGAGAACAGCGGUGCCUCUGCGGUGUGUGAUAGACUGUGUGUGCGUGGCUUAUGUCAUGAUGAUAUUUUGUUCAUUAAAUAUAUAUAUAUAUACAUAUGAAUAUCUGUUUUGGUUGGGAACAGGAGUUUAAGUUACGAUAUUCUGGUUAUUACGGUUAAAACUAUGAGUCGUUUCCAAAGUUUGUUAAAGAGUGAGUCUUUUCUUGAGAGAACGUUUUUGAAAAUCUGUUAAAACUAUGAGUCCCCUUUGGAGCAGGGGCGUAGGCAGAAAUAGUAUUUUGGGCGGGCCAGUACAAAAGUGGGUGGGCCAUUUUCUAAAAGACGAAGUAGCAAAAAGGACUAACUGAAAAAAACAGCAACGAUUUUACCUUCCAACAUACUGCAUUACAACGACAAUAACAGUACUGUCUACAACAUGCUCAACCAACAAAGCUCUGUCUAAAAAGUUUGUACACAACAAUAUAGCCUAGACAAAAACCUGUAGAUUGUAACAUACGGCAGCAACAGCAGCAUUGGCUCUGCACAGCAUUGGCUCUGCACAGCACAGUUAUAAAAUUAACCCUUUUAUUGCUCAAAGUGGCAACUAAACAUGAACCCACACAGCAGAGAAGGCAUUUACAUACUAGAGGACAUAGAAUAGCCUAGCUACAUCAGACAGAAAUCACACAUGUAACAAUGCAACAGCAUUGUUGCUUCAGGACUAUGGUCAGAUCAUGAGCAGCAAAUGGCUACCAGCAGUAAAAGAAAAUCAAAGAAUGAAAACUUCCAGCCAAGCAUUGUUUAGCUAAAUUAUGAAAGAUAUAAUGAAAAGUGGCCAGCCAGGUGCCAAAUCUUAGACAGUGUAUUAAGUCCACGGCAGUGACAGGGUCAAAGAAAACUCAAAACUAGGUCACUCACAGAGAAGUUAUACAUUUACCAUUUCUUACUAAAAAUAGGAAGGUUACUAGGUUAGCUAGGUUACUUAAUUAAUAACACAAGAAGCGUGAAAGACGUUUGACUUAAUGUUACCUGUGUGAGGGCCUCCUCUCUCUCUGAUGGGCUGUCAGCUCCGCUGGGGAAAUGUCUGCACAUACUGCAGAAAAGCUCGUCCUUAUUUACACUGGAUUCCAUCCAAGAAAACUGUCCAUACCACUUUAAAGAUAAGCCAUUGUUGUCGCGGUAACGCUUUUAACAGUGCAUUGCUUAACACAUCCGUGGUAGCUAGCUACGUUGUCUAAACAGCCAGCUAGCUAACGUUAGCUGCUGAAGGCAGCCCGGAGAGUCUGCCUGUUGUUACCAUAGCAACCAACUACAUUCCGAAGGCGUUUGAUCUAGUAAUUGUUUGAUGGUUUGGUUUAAACAGUUUUGUUUUAAUCAGAAGAAAAUACACAUUAAACACACAGAACUAUAAUAUAUAUAGUUGAAUAUUUUUCAUAACAAAACAUAUUUUGAUCAAACUUGGCUGGACGGGCCAGUGAGUAAAGUGGGCGGGCCAGUGCCGCCCAUUACUGCCUACGCCUCUGCUUUGGAGGGAACGUUUUUGAAUGUGUUAAAAUAUAUGAGCCUUCUGGAAGGACGUUAUGAUCUUAUAGAGAAGAUAUGUUUUAGAUAAAAAAAAAAAAAGUAUAGGUUGGCAGAUUAGGGUAAAAUAAGUGAAGAAGAAAAAGAGAGAAAAUAGACUAUAGUCGAAUUAAGAAGUUUCAAAGUAGGAUUUGUGUUGUAUGUUUUGUGUUGGUUUGUGGGUUUUGUUUUGUGUUGCUGAGUUGGGAGUGCGAUUUUGGAGAACUUGUCACUCUGAAGUUGCACUGGCAACUGAAACUGCGCAUGUCUAGAAUUUAAGGAAUGUUAGGGUCCACAGACGUUUAAGCCACUCCCUGCCUGCACUGGGGUGCUGCAGCCUGUGCUGCAAAGAUAAGAAAGGGGGAGACUUUCAGACUUAGGUGCAGCUUGAGGUGCAGUAUUCUGUUUGUUAAAGUAGCGGUUGUUUGACUAUGAAACUAUUUGAUUGAGAUCCAUUGAAUCUAUAAAUGAGAGUUGUGUUGACAGAUAUAAAGAAAGAAAAAUAGAAAAAUGUCAUAAAACAUCUAGAAAAAUGGUAUAAUAAUUUAAAAUGUCUUUCUAAUUAGGAAACCUUAACUAUGCUUGCUUCUGAAGCAUGAAAAGAAAAAUUGGGAGAAAGAUUUGAGGAUAAAGUAGGCAUAAACAAGGCUCAAGCCUGAAGGAAAAAAAAAAAAAAAAAAAGGGGAAGGAAAGAAAGAUAUUAACAGCUGGCAUAGGUGAUUUGCAUCUGGAACCCAGACCAGUGAUUGAUCACCCUGGAAUAAGAAAAUUCCAGCCUCUAUACCUCUAUUGGAAGUAAGAGAUGAGAGGACUGAUUGCUGGGCUCCAGGAUUGUCACCUCUGCCAUUCCAAAAUGUUGGAUCACUUGUUUUGAGUGGCGAGACAUCUAAAAUGAUUUGACUUUGAAUAAAAUAAUUCAAAAUUCGACAAUUUUAUAAGGUUUUUGAUUUUGCUUAAAGUUCUCCACUGUCACAUAUGGUCAUGUCAUUGUGCCAAGGAAAUGAGUGACAUUUGUGAAGGUGGGAAACAGAACAAAUGAAUCCGAUUCCUGUGAAGAAACAGCGAGUUAAUUCAAUCUUAAUGAAACAUUAGACUGAGCUGGUUCAUAUACUUUGUAUAUUAAAGGGGUAACAAUUGUUACAAAAGAUAAUUAGGAAAGUUGAGAGAAAAUGGUAAGCAUGUGUUGCAGAAAGGGAAAACAGAAAGGGAAAAGAAAGUUUUAUGAGACAAUGGAAAGAAAAUAAGGCAUAACUUUAAGGGAAAGUUAAGGGUACAAAAAUGUACUAAGUUAGUUAAAGACAGAAAGAGAGUGUUGUGAAAGUGACAGAAAGACAAAGAAAGAGAUUAAUGUAUUUUUGAAUUAGGAUAAUGGGGUUCAUAUUAAUAUUGUUGGUACAGAGAUAACUGCAGUAUUUGGGCUACAAUCUACAGGAGGGUAAACGUUUAGAUGAGAGUGGUAAAAAAUUGUUAUAUCACAAGCACCAAAACCUAGGAAAGAGAGACAAAUUAGGUAAUUUUCAGGAAUGACUAAUGGUAAUUUCCAAGACGAAUUGCUUUUAGAUAUUAUUGUGAUCCGACAUAUCACAAAUUAAAAAAAAGAUUUAGGAUUUGUGUAGAUGAAACAUAUGUUUAUGAAAUAUGAUGUUUUAUUAUUGUUGGACUGCCCAACAAAUACGCCUACAAGUUUGGUUGAAAUGAUUAGCUGCUUGAAUACUUAGUUGAUUGAUACAACUACUGUGAUCAUUUCCAGUUUAAAAUGUGGGGACUUUUCUGUGUUGUUACUUUUAGUACUUGAAGUACAUAUUUUAUGAUACUUCUCUUACUUAGGUAAUAUUUUUAUAGCAACAUUUUGAAUCAAUGGUGUCAUAGGUUAUAAUGUAGAAAGAGAAUUAAGAAAACCAAAAUGAGUAUGAUUAAAGUAGGCUAAUGCCUCUUGGAGGAGUUGUGCUUUGUGUUUAUUCAGUGUGCCUCGAUGGAUGUCAGAGCGGACCUGUCUCACUCCCCCACCAAGCUACAGAACCAGUGACGGACAAUACCAGACCCUGUACUACAUGACCUCAAUCCAACAGACACAAUAUUCAGCGUGCAACUUUGGUCCCAUCCCCAACAUACUGGCACCAGAAACACCUCUGGAGUUGGAGCAGCAGAAAAGGAGGGGUGACAGAUUUGCAACUGCCCAUGAUUGAGUGGUUGAAGCAGACACCCAGAUGGUUUUCAGGGCAUGAUCAGAGACUGACAUUAAAGAAGCAAUGUCAUACAUGCCCACAAAGUACUUUGUUGAACAUUCACAGAUGAAAUGAAGUUUGAGGAGUUCAGCUCAACUUCACCUGGACUCAGAAGAUGUAUGAUGCUGAAAUUGAUAAAGAUCUUUACAGAUCUGUUAGGCUGGGCUGCCUGGAUUCAAGCGCAGAUACGGAAAAAGGUCAGAACAGGUAUUGAGGUUUAUUGAACAAAAAAAAUGAGUGAUGCAGGUGCUGGAUAUCCCCUGGGGCUGAGAGCGGGCAGACAGGUGAGAAGCAGGAUCGAGAGAAGAACAAGUGAGGAGCAAACUGGAAGAGGUGGUUGUACUUGGAAGCAUGGCAAAAAAUGUCUAUGCAGAUCAUGUAGCUCACCAAGUAGAGCUAUAUAGGAAAAAGGAACAUGAGCAGAAAGAACAAGACCGAGAAACUCCCAGAAAACCCAAUCGAAUGCAGCUGGAGAAAGAUAAGGACAGGAAGGACAAGAAGCAGGCACUGGUUAUGCAAAAUCAGUGUUCACCAAAUCAACAGUCACCAUUAGUGAUUCCAGUUAUUAUAUACCCACAGCUAGCUUCUGGACAGAUACAGAACUGGAGAGGAAGAGGAAGAGGACGAGCUGGAAGAUAUGAUCCAUAUUUUAUAUCUUCACAAGCGUGUUUCAAUUGUGGACAGGAUGGACACUUUUCCCGUGAUUGCAAUAUACCAGGAUGGAAUCCUAGAGGAAAUUACAGAAGAGGAUUCAGGGGCCAGUUAAGGCCAAUUGGAGGACCGAUGAACCCUCACAGGGGUCUGGAGCCAGGAUUCUAGAGGUGCCCAGAAGAUCUGAAAGGAGGUGUCAUCAGGCCCGGAAAGAGAUCCAACAAUUGAGGACAAGGACAGUCACAAGUUGGUAUAGAUCCCCACAGAUGAGCGUGGACAUCUGCAGAUUGACCAGAGAAGGAGGGGAGAGAGACCGGAUUUGCUCUGGCGCACAUCAACGCAUAACGACGAAUAGAAAAAGCAUAUCGGGUAAAUACUUGAAUAUGGACAAUAAAAAUGGACUGGAGGAUUUUGAACAAGGAUACAGUGAUGAAAUGUUCAGAUUCCAUCGACGCUACAUUGAACGUUCGACACUGCGAAGGAGAUGCAGUGGAUAUAUUCUUUGUGUCAUAUUCAUUUUGUAUUAAAACUGUUUGAAGAAGAAUGUUUUGUUGUGGGAUGCACAUGGAGACCUCAGAUGUUUUUAUGUUUUUCUUGACGCUUAGGGACAGCGGGGUCUAGGUAAGGCGAGGUCCUUUUACAGAUCCGAUGAUUUGAUCAGUCUAAAUUGGGACUUUGUUUUGAUUUUAUUUUGAUUUCUGAGGCUGUCAUAUGUAUUCGAUUACACCAAGACAUUACAUGAAUUGAUAAAAAGAUUUUUAAUUGAUCUGGAGUACUGAAGGUGGUCGCCUGGGGCAGAGGGGCCGUGAGAGAAUUUCUGUCUGCCGGACAGGUUUUUCACUCUUACACUCCAUAAAAUGUUUGUUUACACUUCCUAGAAAUUGUUCACACUCUAUGAAAACUUGUGUUAUUGCUAAGGUUAUACUACAAGAAACAUGAUGUAAUGGAGAGUGUUAUUUUGUACCAAUCUUACUCCUUUUUGUUUCGAGACUUAAUUAGUCUAAGGGGGGAAAUGAGGUAUAUUAACAUCCUACUUUAUUCUGAUCAUUCUAUAACUUGUAUUUAGGUCAUAUCUGAACUAUCUAUAUGUAGCUAGAAGUGAUGAACUUUAGCCUACUUUCAGAAGACACAUCUGGAAAAGUGUUAUCAAUGGGGCCCUCCAGGACAGAGCCAGUUGGCAUGAAGCCAUUGGUCAGUUAUUGAUCCCACCCCAAUUCAUGGAAUAUACACAUGUGGCACACACACAAAGAACUUUAGAGUGACUUUUGAGAAUCUGAGAAGCGGUCCUCUCCGAGUUCUGCAGAGCUUGUACAUGAUGCUGAUUUCUUUGAUGUAAAUAAACCUUUAUAAUCAAGAAA